ACGCUUCUCCUAAAGACUAAGCCAUGCAUGCUUUCGAAUAAGAAGAAGCAAUUCUCUCUGAAUCUGCGAACGGCUCCGCACACCAGUUGUAAACUAUAGCAAGCAUGUCCGGUGCCUGGCCUUUACGGGCUGGGUGUUGGGCGAUAAGGAUAACCCUGGUAAUUCUGAGGCUAAUACAUGACCGUAAUCCCUGGCCGACUAGCAAUAGGAAGCCGGGGGACGUGUAAUUGACUCGUAAGGAAGAGCCGGGAAAGGAUGCACGUUCUGACCGCGAUAAAAACGGAUCGGCUUCGGCCGGCCCGAGCGGCUCUUGCGAUGUGCUUCUGACCUAUCAACUAGAUGGCAGCGUAACGGACAUGCUAUGGUUGCAACGGGUACAGAGGAUUAGGGUUCGAUCCUGGAGAGUGGGCCUGAGAGAUUGCUCAUACUUCUAAGGAAGGCAGCAGGCGCGCAACGUUCCCCUUGGACAAUGUCCGAGGGCGUUAGGGGACAUAUGAAUGCUUGCCAUUGGUAGGCAAUCAAAUG
rnacentral:rRNA from 1 species